CCAAGGAGAAUACCAGAGCCACUCCCACUGUACACAGCUGCUAAAGUAGGUCUGGUGGUUGGCUGGGGUGUGGGAGGCAGGCGGUGCGAUUGACUGUGAAGCCCUUAUGGUUUCCUGUGUGCUGACACAGAGCCUGUUUGCCUUCCCAUUGUUACUCACCCCACAACUCGAGCCUGCUUCUGCGAGAGGCCGUGGAAAUGUGCGGCAGCCGAGCUCUCUGACAGUGGGCACAGCAUUUCCACUCGCCACCCCGUCCCCGGAGCCGCGAGACCAGGGCCUCGAUGUGCCGGCCAGAGUGAUCUCCGUGUGAAGUGGAUUUCUGAAGUGGCUCCAGACCGUGGUGAAAGGAUGGCUGGGCCCCAUCUGCCCCCCUUCACUGCCGCCCUGGGACUGGCAUUGCUUGGUGUCCUGGUCUUCCUCUCAGCCCUGUGUGCUGCCUGCAGAAGGAAAGCUAGGAAGAAGGUGGUCCCACCGGAUGGGGUGAAGCUGGUAGAUGUGUCGUUGCUGAGGCAGAUGCAGCUCCGAUCGCUCAGUAAAUCUGACACCAAACUGCAUGAGCUCAACAGGGUGAAGCGCACGGACGAGCACCAAAGACCAGCCAGCGUGGAUUUCCUUUACCCAUCAGGGUCUUUGGGGGAUGGAGAAGGAGCCGUGCAUAGCUCGAGCUUCAGCAUCCUGCUGCACCGAGAGCUGCCCCAGAUCCCCAAUUCCAACCCUUCGGCUGACGCCCUGAGUCCUGACCAGACCUACUCAAACGUGUCCUUCUUAGCCCCGCUGAAACCAGCCCCGGAGGCGCUGUACGAGUGUGCGGCCGUGACUCAGGAAGGGCCUCAACCGAUGCCCAUCUUGGGAACCCCAAUGGAGGCUUCCCCUCUAAGCGAGGAGGACAAGGCAGUGACGGCUGAGUAUGCCUGUGUCCGCAAGGUGAAGAAGAAUUUCCAGCCAGAGCUCCAGGAUGAGACACAGGGCGAAUCCUCCGUGGGGCCUGCAGACCCAGAAGGCUGGGAAGGAGCUGCCUGUAACCCCGCAGCGGUGAAGGUAGAAGAAAUGUACUCGACUGUGUGCAAAGCUGGAAAGAAGAAGAAACACCAAGGCUCUGCUCUGUCCCCCUCUGAAGGAAUGGACACUGGGGAGACGGGCCAAGGAGAACAGGGGUGGCCAGCCGCCCAUCUCAGACAUGUCAGGGUGGGGUAUCAGUCCACACCGGGCCGAGUCUUACUCACUGAGCCCUGCUAUGAGUCUAUCAAGGAUGGAUCCUGGACUGAGCAUGGCAGGAACCCAGCCCCAGAACCGGCCUACGAGGCAGUAGAUGUCAAAUGGAAAAAGCCCAAGAGAAGGGACAAGUCUACCAAGAACUGCCCCACCGAGAACUUGUAUGAAAGUAUCAGCGAAAUGUGGGAAGGGGACCCUAGGAACACAGCUACCCUGGCAGCUCCCAAUGGGUUGGAGAUAUACGUAACAGACUUAUAACGCCUUAUGUAUAGCUGCCCCCUUCCUGGGAAGGUCUGUGCUCCUCC
rnacentral:lncRNA from 1 species